rnacentral:rRNA from 1 species
UACAGAGGUAGCAAGCGUUGUUCGGAAUGACUGGGUGUAAAGCGCGUGUAGGUGGUUUUGUAAGUUGAAUGUGAAAUCUCCAGGCUCAACCUGGAAACGGCAUUCAAUACUGCAUAACUUGAGGACGGAAGAGGAAAGUGGAAUUUCGGGUGUAGCGGUGAAAUGCGUAGAUAUCCGAAGGAACACCGGUGGCGAAGGCGACUUUCUGGUCCGUAUCUGACACUGAGACGCGAAAGCUAGGGGAGCAAACAGG